CACUAGAAAAAGUUUCAUAACCAAGCAAGGGGAGCCAAGGGGUCCGAGGCCCAGCUAGGAUGAUGGCUAACCAGAACGAAGACCUUGCCCCGGAACCAAACCCAGAUUUUAUUAAUUCAUGAAGAAAGGAGUGACUGUGAAAAUGGUGGAACGUAGGUAUGAGUAAGAGAAAAAGGGAAAGAAAACCAAACGGUUGAAUGCACCAAACACAUGCCGCAGAGCAGGCCAGGAAGCAAAGAAAAUCAACAAGGACAUACGUCAGACCCAAAUACAACAUACAAAUUCAGUGAAGCUGUUGAACAAAGAGGACAGGGUAAAGAACCUGACAUAAGAGGAAGAAAUAAGCCGGGCGUGGUGGCACACACCUGUAAUCCCUGCACUUAGGAGCUGA